CAAUGAUGGAAAUGUCUCCUGGCCAACGAUCUGGAUAUAGAUUUCUAUCUUAUUCUUUGGCUUGCUACGAGUAAGGAAGGCCAAGGUCAGUCUAGUCAAGUUUCCCCCCAAGUUUGGAAGGCAUCUUGGAAGUUACCUAUCUUCGAAUGAUGAACCUUCUUUAGCUUCAAGAGAUCCCAUUCAAGCUCAAGUAUCUUGGCAGCCUCCCCCUAAGGAAACUCUCAAGUUUAAUUGUGAUAUAGCAUGGUAACAGCUCGGGGAUUUUAGCGGUGAUAGUCAGGAACUGUUUAGGCAAAGUUGUUGAUGAAGUAACUAAAAGAAUUAGCUGUCAUUCCCCCUUGAUGGGAGAAGCUUAUGCAGUUCUAGCUGCAGUCCGUCUUGCCAAGAAUUUGGGAGCCAAAUCCAUUAUUAUAGAAUCUGACUCGGCUUCAGCUGUCUCUAAUCCACUUGCUGAGAAGGUUUGGGAAAUCCAUGCUACAGUGGAGUCUAUUCUUUUCCUUAGUCAUCAGUUUCCAUAUGUGGAUUUCCUUCAUGCCAAUAGGAAAGCUAAUAAUGCUGCUCAUUGUCUAGCCAAAUUAGGUUAUAAGAAUUGCUUGCAUUGUAAUUGGAUCUCGUCUCCCCCUGUUUCCCUCCUUUCUGCUUGUAUUGUUGAUCGCCAAGGGGCCUCGUAAUGCAGAGUAUUUUGAAAUUCAAAAAAUAAAAAAUAAAAACUUUUUCUGUUGAGCAAAAGCUCUUUUUUAUUUUUUAUUUAUAUUUGUAUAUAUUUCUUUUGGAGGGAUUACAAAAUACAAAGAAAAAUUUCUUUCACAAUGAUGACUAGUCUAGAGUAUGACAUAAAACUAAACAAUUUUUUUAAAUAAGCAAUAUAUAAUUAAGGAUAAUAAAAACAUUGCAUAUGAUUGAGCAGUCAUUUGAGAAUGAAAUAUUUACCUCAUUCCCUACACGGAACUCUUCUAGGCAGAUGGGAC
rnacentral:misc_RNA from 1 species